UACGUAGGGUGCAAGCGUUAAUCGGAAUUACUGGGCGUAAAGCGUACGCAGGCGGCUAUGUAAGACAGGUGUGAAAUCCCCGGGCCUAACCUGGGAACUGCAUUUGUGACUGCAUAGCUAGAGUCCGUCAGAGGGGGGUGGAAUUCCACGUGUAGCAGUGAAAUGCGUAGAGAUGUGGAGGAACACCGAUGGCGAAGGCAGCCCCCUGGGAUGAGACUGACGCUGAGGCGCGAAAGCGUGGGGAGCAAACAGG
rnacentral:rRNA from 1 species